GACAGAGGUGCCGAGCGUUAGGCGGAAUCACUGGGCUUAAAGCGUGUGUAGGCGGGUCGUUAAGUGUCUUGUGAAAUCCCACCGCUCAACGGUGGAACUGCUGGGCAUACUGGCGAUCUUGAGCCACCUAGGGGCAGACGGAACAAGCGGUGGAGCGGUGAAAUGCGUAGAUAUCGCUUGGAACGCCGACGGUGAAAACAGUCUGCUGGGGGUGUGGCUGACGCUGGAGACACGAAAGCCAGGGGAGCGAACGGGG
rnacentral:rRNA from 1 species